rnacentral:rRNA from 2 species
ACACAUGCAAGUCGAGCGGGCCCUUCGGGGUCAGCGGCAGACGGGUGAGUAACGCGUGGGAACGUACCAUUUGCUACGGAAUAACUCAGGGAAACUUGUGCUAAUACCGUAUGAGCCCCCCUUUAAAAUUUCAGGAAUCAUAAAAUGCCCUGGCAUUUUAUGGGGGGGAAAGAUUUAUCGGCAAAUGAUCGGCCCGCGUUGGAUUAGCUAGUUGGUGGGGUAAAGGCCUACCAAGGCGACGAUCCAUAGCUGGUCUGAGAGGAUGAUCAGCCACACUGGGACUGAGACACGGCCCAGACUCCUACGGGAGGCAGCAGUGGGGAAUAUUGGACAAUGGGCGCAAGCCUGAUCCAGCCAUGCCGCGUGAGUGAUGAAGGCCCUAGGGUUGUAAAGCUCUUUCACCGGUGAAGAUAAUGACGGUAACCGGAGAAGAAGCCCCGGCUAACUUCGUGCCAGCAGCCGCGGUAAUACGAAGGGGGCUAGCGUUGUUCGGAUUUACUGGGCGUAAAGCGCACGUAGGCGGGCUAAUAAGUCAGGGGUGAAAUCCCGGGGCUCAACCCCGGAACUGCCUUUGAUACUGUUAGUCUUGAGUAUGGUAGAGGUGAGUGGAAUUCCGAGUGUAGAGGUGAAAUUCGUAGAUAUUCGGAGGAACACCAGUGGCGAAGGCGGCUCAC